CGGAAUUCAAGUGUCGAGCUUUCGGCAUGGUUAAAAAACUGGCCAAGACAGGCGUGAAAUUUUAGGCGUUGCGAAGUAGCAGGGAGAUAAAGUAAACGCUAAUAGGGCAGUUAAAUAGGGAUCCAGCUAGCAGGGAAGUUGGACAAGGAAUACUUAUCCAACUUCCCAGCUAGCAGGGAAGUUGGAUAAGUAUUUAGCUAGCAGGAAAGGUAAAAUGUACCAAGCAGCAAAGAAGCUUAAAAAAAAAAAAAAAUCAAGAUAAGGGAAGGAAGUUUGAAAUGCAGAAAGCUAUUAGGUGAUUUAGAAAGAUAUGUAACUAGCAAAGGCGGUCGGAAAUGUAUCAAGUCAAGAGGGGAACUAAAACGCACGAAACCAACAGGGAAAUUAUAAAAGCAUCGGGGAUAGCGGGGCAGUCAGGAGUAUACAAAGCCAGCGGGGGAUUUAAAAAGAAUAUUAAACCAACGAGGAAAUAUUUAAGCCAAAGGCAGUAUCAGAUUAGUUAAAAAAAAAAAAAAGAGGAAUGACAAGUCAGGGAGGAUUAAGAGGGUGCCAAGGUGCCAAGGAGACGCAGGAGGAAGGACGAGAAGGGCGAUUCGAGGCGGUGCUCAGGGUGCCACGGCGAAGGCCUUAGAAGGAGUGCCAAAUUGCCAGGGAUUCUUGGGGG